rnacentral:rRNA from 1 species
AUUGAACGCUGGCGGCAUGCUUUACACAUGCAAGUCGGACGGCAGCGGGGUAGUGCUUGCACUACUGCCGGCGAGUGGCGAACGGGUGAGUAAUAUAUUGGAACGUACCGAGUAAUGGGGGAUAACCAAUCGAAAGAUUGGCUAAUACCGCAUACGCUCUGAGGAGGAAAGCAGGGGACCUUCGGGCCUUGCGUUAUUCGAGCGGCCAAUAUCUGAUUAGCUAGUUGGUGGGGUAAAGGCCUACCAAGGCGACGAUCAGUAGCGGGUCUGAGAGGAUGAUCCGCCACACUGGGAUUGAGACACGGCCCAGACUCCUACGGGAGGCAGCAGUGGGGAAUUUUGGACAAUGGGCGCAAGCCUGAUCCAGCCAUGCCGCGUGUCUGAAGAAGGCCUUCGGGUUGUAAAGGACUUUUGUUAGGGAAGAAAAAGGAGCGGUUAAUACCCGUUUCUGCUGACGG